UGUUUAGCCUGGUAAGCUCUUGUUGUGCAACGUUGGACUUGGUUUGACUGAAUCAGUUGUUGUACAAGAUCGUGGAAGGUCGCUUCCUCCCCCUGGCUAUGAUUCUAUACUGGUGAGUUAAUGAUGAAAAGCUGGAGUCAAUUUGGUGCGCCUUUGUCGGAGGAAGACGUUGAUCUGUAGCCAGCAAUCCUGGAGAAAAGGAACUGAGAGUUUCAUUAGUUAAAAUCACACUUUUAGCUC